rnacentral:rRNA from 1 species
AAUAUUGCGCAAUGGACGGAAGUCUGACGCAGCGACGCCGCGUGAGCGAUGAAGGNCUNNGGAUCNUNAAGCUCUGUCCUUGGNNNNNAAGGGCUUCGGCCUUGACGGUACCCAAGAAGAAAGCCCCGGCUAACUACGUGCCAGCAGCCGCGGUAAUACGUAGGGGGCGAGCGUUGUCCGGAAUUACUGGGCGUAAAGGGUGCGUAGGCGGCCCUUUAAGUCAGAUGUGAAAGGCCACGGCUUAACCGUGGAACUGCAUUUGAAACUGGAGGGCUUGAGUAUCGGAGAGGGUAGUGGAAUUCCCAGUGUAGCGGUGGAAUGCGUAGAUAUUGGGAGGAACACCAGUGGCGAAGGCGACUACCUGGACGAAAACUGACGCUGAGGCACGAAAGCUAGGGGAGCAAAC